rnacentral:tRNA from 1 species
GGGGAACCUGCGGCUGGAUCACCUCCUUUCUAACGAGUACGCCAGCUCUCUUCGGAGAGUUGGCCAUUCGAGGUCAACCUUCCGGGUAAUACCGGUCGGUUUCGGCCGUGGCAAAAAAGUCUGUUUCCACCCCCGCUCGCACUACUAUUCGGUUUUGAAGGGCCUCCCUUCUUCAGGGUUGUUCUUUGACAAGAUUUUUGGAUCGAUACUGGAUUCGAGCCUGCGCAAGGCCGGCCGAUGCGCACCUAUCAGCUGGGCCCAUAGCUCAGUUGGCUAGAGCGCGCCCCUGAUAAGGGCGAGGUCGGAAGUUCGACUCUUCCUGGGCCCACCAAAGUUCUUCCCGAUAGCUAGGACUUCUGGUUAUGACAGAGAUAAGACAUUGCGCGCGCGGCUCGAGAGAUAGCGGAUCGGUAAGCGGUGAAAAAAGGGUUUGGGGCGGUAGCUCAAUUGGGAGAGCAUCGGCUUUGCAAGCCGAGGGUUGCCGGUUCAAUCCCGGUCCGCUCCACCAGUAUUAAACGACCGGACGCUACUUAGGCGUCCGAAGCAAGUUUUCGCUCCCGUUGAAUCGUAAGUGAUAACGGGAUGUCGAUCCGGUCUUUGACAACUGAAUAGUAGGGUAUCUAAAAGUGUAGUUAGUAGAGCCUUGUAUGUGACUCAAGACCUUAAGUGGUCAAGCUACUAAGGGCACAC